AUAUUACACAGUUUCAUCCAUAGGUAGCAAGUUUCACAAGGUCAAAACAAAAACUAAAUACAAGCACUCCAUCAACCCAAGCUUCCGUGAUCUUAAGCAAAUCUGUAAAAUGGGAAAGAAGAAAGUUAGAAGAAGAAGACUAGAAGAAGAAGAUUAUUAUGAUGCAGAAAUAUGCAUGGAUUGUCAAAACUUGCAUUAUCCUACUAUCGCUAGUACAACAAAGCUGCAGGUUGGCAUAGUUCAUGAACCAUGUACAUCAUGACAAAUACAAUAUCAUCCAAUGCUCGACUAUGAACAAAAUUGAACAAUUACACCUCACAAAGGCGGAGCAUAGAACCAACAAGCAAGUAGGAGGGGUAUAAGAGGACGUGAGGAGCUCACCGGAGGGGGUUCUAGCCUAGGCUGAGCUUCAUCACCAUGGAUGCGGCUAGGGAAAUCAGACGAGUCUACCAUCAUAGGAGCACCACCACCACCACCGCCAAAACUGGAAUGGCCAGAGCAAAUCGCCAUCAUAUGGGUCACCACCACCGAAUGAUCUUGCAAGGUGUAAAGUCUCCACAUUUCAGUAUAAACUAGUGGCGUCAAGAAACAAGCAGUAGCAGGCAGAAGGUAAAUUCUAGUAACUGAUGAUUAGUAGACAAAAACAGGAAAUAGAUCGCACCAGUAGCAAAGUCCACUGCCGCAAGUCCUAAACAUUUCAUUCAGAUCAUAUAUGAAACUCACUAGUAAGCGUGCAUGUGCAACUCACGUUUCAAACGUUGAUCAAGUGAGUGUGAGUUCACGGUAUAAAACUAAAAUAUGUUUUGCAAAUAAAUAAAUUAAAUGGAUACAAAACUGCAUGUCGUUUAAAUUGUAUUUUAAAAAGUGAGACAUCACUGUGAUCCAAUAAUCAGAUGAAGAAUCAGUUUGUGGCCUCGAUAACCAAUGUUUUCACGCAAAAUGGUUUCUGAGAUGAAUUUACACACAACCAAUAUGUAAGUUCCGAGCACAUGCAAGAGAAGAAUUGAAGUUAUGCAUAUAUCUUACCCUGUUACCAUCAGAUGCAAGUGAACUAUUAGCUUAAGAUCACUUGAGCCCAGAGAGCGAAGAACAUUUUUUUUCAAAUUACAUCAUUUAGAAUUGCAAAAUGGACCAAAGAUAAGAUAAUUCAUACAUUGGAUAAAGUGGCAAAAUAUAGCAAUGGUGUAAAUAGGCAUGGGACAUCCCAAAUAUACAUUGGAUAAAAUGCAAGGUGAUAAUAAGAUUAGAUCUGGUCACUUUAUUACAAAGUAGUAAGACUAAAUCUCCCAAAAUAAAAAUGGUUGUUCUGCCUAUAAAAUAUAUAAUGCAGCCCCAAUUAAAAAAGGUAGAAUAAAUUAUGCCACAAAUUGCAUCAUCGGCCAGCCUAACUGCGCUAAUGUAUCCAUUUCAGAAUGGCAAGCAAGCAAGUGUGUCGGGUAGCUACAUGACUAUAAACUUUAGUGUGGUCGAUGAUACCAGCAACCAUCAAGUCCUCGUACUACCGAACAGAAGGAUCACACACUUGCAGCUAGAAAUAAUCUGGUACGACAUCAUCUUUUAUGCUAUUCAGAUCUAUGCAGAAAUAUAUGAACUUUAUAUUAGUAAAUGAGAUCUAACCUUCUCGGUAACAAUGUUGUCAUUGACACCCACAUUCUUUGCAAUCAAUUUGAAUGGAAAAACUGAAAUGUUCAAUGGUUCAACAUGAUUGUUUGUGACCCACAUGUGGUGGACCGUGUUGGCUGCGGGUAUUAGGAGCACGGGGCAAUGUCAUUCGUUUCUUGUACCUUAUGAAACAGGGUAUCCUUGACACAUCUACUUUAGCAGCCAAUUUGAAAAGAGUUCACACUCCACAACAAUACCUUCCUCAAUGGCAGCGUGCGAAAAGAAGAAGCAAUUCAGAAGCUUUAAGGAAGCAACAAACUAAUUGACUUAAUUCUGCUUCUUUGAAAAGCAAAUACAAAGGACAACUUGAAAUGUUCAAUGAAAAAACAUUGAUUGACUCAC
rnacentral:lncRNA from 1 species